CCAUCAUUUAAAGAAAGCGUAAUAGCUCACUGGUCGAGUCGGCUGCGCGGAAGAUAUACCGGGGCUCAAGGUGUGUACCGAAGCUGUGGAUGCAUAUUUAUAUGCAUGGUAGGGGAGCGUUCUGUAAGUCUGCGAAGGUGGAUCGUAAGGUCUGCUGGAGAUAUCAGAAGUGCGAAUGCUGACAUGAGUAACGAUAAUGCGGGUGAAAAGCCCGCACGCCGAAAACCCAAGGUUUCCUGCGCAACGUUCAUCGGCGCAGGGUUAGUCGGUCCCUAAGGCGAGGCAGAAGUGCGUAGUCGAUGGGAAACAGGUUAAUAUUCCUGUACUUUUUAUAGCUGCGAUGGGGUGACGGAGAAGGCUAGAUUAGCCAGCUGUUGGAUAUGCUGGUUUAAGCGAGUAGGUUGAGGACUUAGGCAAAUCCGGGUCCUUAAGACUGAGACGUGAUGACGAUUUCCAUUCUAUGGAGAGAAGUAAUUGAUGCCCUGCUUCCAGGAAAACCCUCUAAGCUUCAGGUUAUGAAGAACCGUACCCCAAACCGACACAGGUGGGUGGGGUGAGAAUCCCAAGGCGCUUGAGAGAACUCUGGUGAAGGAACUCGGCAAAAUGACACCGUAACUUCGGGAGAAGGUGUGCCACCGUUAGGUGAAAGUCCUUGCGACUGGAGCUGAAGGUGGUUGCAAUAAAGAGGUGGCUGCGACUGUUUACUAAAAACAUAGCACUCUGCAAACUCGUAAGAGGAAGUAUAGGGUGUGACGCCUGCCCGGUGCCGGAAGGUUAAUUGAUGGGGUUAGCAUUAGCGAAGCUCUUGAUCGAAGCCCCGGUGAACGGCGGCCGUAACUAUAACGGUCCUAAGGUAGCGAGAAUUCCUUGUCGGGUAAGUUCCGACCUGCACGAAUGGCGUAACGAUGGCCACACUGUCUCCACCAGGGACUCAGUGAAAUUGAACUUGCUGUGAAGAUGCAGUGUACCCGCGGCUAGACGGAAAGACCCCGUGCACCUUUACUAUAGCUUCACACUGGACUUUGAAUAAGUAUGUGCAGGAUAGGUGGAAGGCUUUGAAGCGGAAACGCCAGUUUCUGUGGAGCCACCCUUGAGAUACCACCCUUACUUGUUUGAGGCCCUAACUGAGGUCCAUUAUCUGGAUCCAGGACCGUGUGUGGUGGGUAGUUUGACUGGGGCGGUCUCCUCCCAAAUUGUAACGGAGGAGCGCGAAGGUACUCUAAUUACGGUCGGAAAUCGUAAGGUUAGUGCAAAGGCAUAAGAGUGCUUGACUGCGAGACAGACACGUCGAGCAGGAACGAAAGUUGGUCUUAGUGAUCCGGUGGUUCUGUAUGGAAGGGCCAUCGCUCAACGGAUAAAAGGUACGCCGGGGAUAACAGGCUGAUACCCCCCAAGAGUUCAUAUCGACGGGGGUGUUUGGCACCUCGAUGUCGGCUCAUCACAUCCUGGGGCUGUAGCCGGUCCCAAGGGUAUGGCUGUUCGCCAUUUAAAGUGGUACGCGAGCUGGGUUUAGAACGUCGUGAGACAGUUUGGUCCCUAUCUGCCGUGGGCGUCGGAGACUUGAGAGGAGCUGCUCCUAGUACGAGAGGACCGGAGUGGACGUACCCCUGGUGUUCCAGUUAUCGUGCCAACGGUAUUGCUGGGUAGCUAUGUACGGACGGGAUAACCGCUGAAAGCAUCUAAGCGGGAAGCCCCCCUCAAGAUAAGGUCUCCCGGGAUUUAAGUCCCCUGAA
rnacentral:rRNA from 1 species